rnacentral:rRNA from 1 species
UACGGGGGGGGCAAGCGUUGUUCGGAAUUACUGGGCGUAAAGGGUUCGUAGGUGGCCUGCUAAGUCAAACGUGAAAUCCCUCAGCUUAACUGGGGAACUGCGUCUGAGACUGGUGGGCUUGAGUGCAGGAGAGGAACGCGGAAUUCCAGGUGUAGCGGUGAAAUGCGUAGAUAUCUGGAGGAACACCGGUGGCGAAGGCGGCGUUCUGGACUGCUACUGACACUGAGGAACGAAAGCCAGGGGAGCAAACGGG